UACAGAGGGUGCAAGCGUUGUUCGGAAUUAUUGGGCGUAAAGCGCGUGUAGGCGGUGGUUCAAGUCGGGUGUGAAAGCCCUCAGCUUAACUGGGGAGGGUCACGCGAUACUGAUCGACUCGAAGGCAGGAGAGGGUAGUGGAAUUCCCGGUGUAGUGGUGAAAUGCGUAGAUAUCGGGAGGAACACCAGUGGCGAAGGCGACUACCUGGCCUGUUCUUGACGCUGAGGCGCGAAAGCUAGGGGAGCAAACGGG
rnacentral:rRNA from 1 species